rnacentral:lncRNA from 1 species
CUGGAUGCAGCCCACUGAAGUCAGCUUCCUGGGGUGCGUAGCUGAAGGUAGCAGGGAGCAAAAAGAAUCUGAAGGGGAAGUGAACAAUGUAGAGCGUAUCUGUGCUGAAGACGUAAGGAGAGAGUGGAGGUCAGAAGCUGGCAUGGUCCCUGGUGCAUGUAUCAGCCGCUAAAGAAGUGGAGAGUAUGAACAUAAGCAAGAGGAAGUGAUGAGUAUCCCUUCCAGGAGAACUCUAAGAGGCAGUGAGUGAUUUGCUGGGCUCCCAAGCCCUCUGCUCUGAUGACAGCAAAGCCCCAAAUCAUGGUGCCUCCAUCAGUCGGGACCCCUCAGCAGAGCCAGCUUCACAGCUGGAGUGGAUGAAUCAGAACUUUCCCCAUGGGAGCAUUUAUAAAAAGGGGACACCCAGCGCAGAAGAUGUUUUCCAGGGAGAUCUCGGGGAGCCCAACAAGCCAAGAAGAGCAGAGCAAAGCAUUCCAAGGAAGGACUCUAAGUCUGCAACCGAGCACACACGAGGGUAGCCUACGCAUGUACGUCUUGCAGUGAUGGCAAGGAGCAGGAGAAAGAAAGCCCAUCCAAACAAGCAUAUUGGAAGCCUAUGUAUCCCAUAAGCUGACAUCUUGUUGCCCAAAGCAUGUCAUGUGCGUGGUCCAGAGUCAGUGUUGAAGGGCUCUGCAAAAUCACAUGGUAAAGACUGUGGUUUCAGGGAGGAGUGAAGAUUUGUGCGCAUUGCUCCAAUUGACAACCAUGGCACUAGGCUCAGGCCACACUUCUUCCUAACAAGAGAGCAAGUCAAAGCGUGGUUAGUUAAAGUCCAUACAAAAACUCACUUUAACAGGCCUCCUCUGGAUUGAACAGCUGAUAUUAAGUCAUAAGGUACCACAUCAGAAAGAUACUGGGUAUCUUUGGUUCAGCAAUUCCAUCACCAGGGACUUUUUCAUCCUAAGGAAAUCACUGCACGGUGGACAAAGAUAUAUGCAUAAGGAUGCUCCUUCUGGCCAAAGACCAAAAACAUAACUGGCCAUCAGUAAAAGCCAAUGUUCAGUGACUGUGUGGUUGACUGUGGCUUCUAAAAGACUACUUGAGACCCUGAGCAUGGAGCAGUUCUGUAAUCUGGACAGGAAUCUGGAACAACAUCCUCAAAACUUGGGAAACAGGUGCCAGACUUCACCAGACAAGUUCCCAACAGUGGCACAUUGUGGAGACUAAAGACUAGAUAGUGAUAAUUUAUGAAUGAAACUCUAGUUUACUCUACACCUGUCUUCAGAAGCAAGACUGACCUCCUUGGAACAGACUUUCUGGACAAUUUGCUGGCAGAGGAAGAGACCACAAGAGGAAAAAAGUGGACUUCCUGGUAAUUUAGGGGUUUGAUUAACAAAUUUGAAUAUUUAAAAGAGAUGUUAUUUUCACUAAAGAAGAUAGCUAAAUGGUAAAUAAGCCUAUUCAACAUUAUUAGUCAUCAAAGAAAUUCAAGUUAAAACUACAAUGACAUAUCACCACACACCCUUGAAAAUGGCUAAAAUAAGGACUGAUAUUAUCAAGUGUUGGGGAAGAUGUGGAGCAACUAGAACUCUCAUACUCAAUUUGGGAGUGCAAAUUGGUUCAAUCUCUUUGGAAAACUGUUUAGCAGUAGCUACAAAAGCUGAAAGCAUAGACUGUGACCCAGUAAUUUCAUUUCUGGAUAUUACUACACAUAUAUACACAGGAAUGUUUAUAUAUUUCCACCAAAGUGCCUACGCAAGAAUAUUCAUAGCAGCACUAUCUGUAAUAGCCUAAAACUAGAAACUACCUAAAUGUCCAUCAACAGGUUAAAAAAAGAUAAAUUGUGGUAUGUUUCUAUAAUGCAUUGUUACUCAGAAAGAAGAAGGAUGAGGAGAAUGUAACAACAUGAAAGAAACUCACUGCCCUAAUAUUGAGCACAAGAAACCAGAAAUACAUACAGAAAAGUAUACCAUACUCAUUGUUCUAUUUAUAUGAAAUUCAAGAACUGGCUAAACUAAUCUAUGAUGACAGAAGUCAGAAUAUGAUUACUUUUGGAAGGAGGAGCAUUAACCAAAAUGGGACAUAAAGGAGGCUGUUGAGAUACCUGAAAUAUUCUUGUCAUAAUCUGGGUAGUGUUGUAUGGGUAUUGCCAUGUAUUAAAUUGUGUCUCCCCACACCUUCAAAUUCAUACUUUGAAGCCCUAUUCCCCAAUAUGGUUAUGUUUAAAACUAGGGCUUUUAGAAGGGAAUUAAGGUUAAAUGAGACCAUCGGUUCCCUGAUCCCAUAAGAUUAGCAUCCUUAUAAAAGAAACAGCAGAGUUUGUGCGCUCACUCUGUCUUUCACUCUCUGUUUCUCUGUCUGUCUCCCCCUCUCUCCCUCUCUUCCUCCUGCUCUCUGCAUGCAUAGCACAAGGAAAGACCAUGUGAAUACACAGCAAGAACGUGGUGCUCUGCAAGUCAGAAACAGACCCGUCAUCAGACACCAAAUCAGCCAGCACCUUGAUCUAGGAUUUCUGGCCUCCAAAACAGUGAGAAAAUAAAAUUCUGUUGUUUAAGCCAUGCAGCCUG